GGAGCCUACGGGGCGCAGCAGUGAGGAAUAUUGGUCAAUGGGCGAGAGCCUGAACCAGCCAAGUCGCGUGAGGGAAGACGGUCCUAUGGAUUGUAAACCUCUUUUGCCGGGGAGCAAAAAGCGGUACGUGUACCGCAUCGAGAGUACCCGGAGAAGAAGCAUCGGCUAACUCCGUGCCAGCAGCCGCGGUAAUACGGAGGAUGCGCGCGUUAUCCGGAUUUAUUGGGUUUAAAGGGUGCGCAGGCGGCGAGUUAAGUCAGCGGUAAAAUUUCGGGGCUCAACCCCGACGCGCUGUUGCA
rnacentral:rRNA from 1 species